UGUGAGUGAUGAAGGUUUUCGGAUCGUAAAGCUCUGUCGGGUGGAAAGAAUAAAGGCUGUGUAAAUAAUGCAGUCUGAUGACGGUACCACCAAAGGAAGCACCGGCUAACUCCGUGCCAGCAGCCGCGGUAAUACGGAGGGUGCAAGCGUUGUUCGGAAUUAUUGGGCGUAAAGGGCGUGUAGGCGGGUAUGCAGGUCAGAUGUGAAAUCCCCCGGCUCAACCGGGGAAGUGCAUUUGAAACCGCAUAUCUUGAGUACGAGAGAGGCAGAUGGAAUUCCCAGUGUAGAGGUGAAAUUCAUAGAUAUUGGGAAGAACACCGGUGGCGAAAGCGGUCUGCUGGCUCGAUACUGACGCUGAGACGCGAAAGCGUGGGGAGCAAACAGGAUUAGAUACCCUGGUAGUCCACGCCGUAAACGAUGUGCGCUAGGUGUUGGGGGUAAUUAAACCUUCAGUGCCGCAGCUAACGCAUUAA
rnacentral:rRNA from 1 species